CCCUGCUUAGCUCAGUUGGUAGAGCGCUUCACUGGAAAGGGAAAGGUCCCGGAUUCGAUAUCCGGACCAGGCG
rnacentral:tRNA from 1 species